UACGGAGGAUGCAAGCGUUAUCCGGAUUCAUUGGGUUUAAAGGGUGCGCAGGCGGAGAGAUAAGUCAGUGGUGAAAAACUGCCGCUCAACGGUAGUCUUGCCAUUGAUACUGUCUUUCUUGAGUAUGGAUGAGGUAGGCGGAAUGUGCAGUGUAGCGGUGAAAUACAUAGAUAUUGCACGGAACACCAAUUGCGAAGGCAGCUUACUGGACCAUUACUGACGCUCAGGCACGAAAGCGUGGGGAUCAAA
rnacentral:rRNA from 1 species